CCUAAUUGUUGACCGGAAAGACAAAGAUGAUAAAGAAAAGUGUGAAAAUUUACAAGUCAAAUGAGAGAGUAACAAUUUCAUCAUCAAACAAGAGGAAAGCCGACUCAAAAUGUCACCAUGACUCAAAACAAUCAACACCCAAAUCACAAUCAUCUUAAAUUUCAUCACAACCAAUUAACCAUCAACAAGAAAAGUUGAUUAAUGUAAAUUCAAAAGCAAAAGAGGAUAUUGAAUUAUCUGCACUAUUAUCAACAUCUAUCAGCGUAAAUGCAAUAUAAAGACAUUUCAUCUUUCGUUUUUUUUUGAGCAAACCAACCAACUAAAUACCUUCCAGUGGAUGCAGUUUAUUAUGAAAAAAAAGUAAUAAUGAUGAUGAAGAUAAUGAUGGUGCUCGAUAAGGGAUGAAGAGAGAGAGAGAGAUGCUGAUGAUAAAGAGGAACAGACAAAAAAGACUUGAUUGGAUUGCCCGUGGAUGGAUAAGGAAGGAGAAAUAUACAAGAUGAUAAAAAGAUAAAUACAAAUACAUGGAACAGAAAAAAGGGAAAAGGAAAGUGAAAAUUAGGUUGUUGCUGUUGUCGAGCUGAAUCUUUUUUUCCAUAGGAAAUUAGAAGCCAUUUAUUAUUAACACAGGAGGAGAGAGAGAGAGAGAGAGAGAUGGUGGAGGAAGAGAGAGAAAAAAAUUCCCUGGGAGUAGUUAAAUACACAAAGAAAAUGAAUGAGGAGUGUAACGAAUGGACUUUUCUCCCUCAUCAUCUUCUUCUCCUCCCUGAUCAUCAUCAUCAUCUCUUUUUUUUCUUCAUUUUCACCAUUCAGAUUCAUGGUAAAAAUCACCAACCCCACCGUCGAUGCAUAAACAUUCAUUUCCAUGUUAAUCAGAUUUACACUUUUUCAUCUUCAUUUAAUUUCCUGUUAAUUUUUUUCUCUCCUCAACAAUCAAAUCAAUGAUGAACACAAUUUCCAAUGGAAUUAAAUUAUCCUCUUCAUAAACAUGGAAAAUUAAUUUAAUAUGCAAAAAUAUUUUUCUCAGAGAAAGAAAAACUUUCCAAAGAUUUUCACUUCUAAAUGAGAAAUCCUAAGUUUCAUCCUUAAUCCCAAGAAGAUUUCACACUGAGAAUCAGCAAAAGGAAAAAGAUUUACCAUGAAUAUUUUCCAGGGGAAUUUGGAGAAGUGAAAAAAAAGUUCUGGAUGAAUUUCAACUUGGAAUCAAAAAUCUCCAAGCAUCAUCAUCAUUCUCAUCCGACUCUUUAUCAUCUCCUUAAGGCUCAACAAGAUUUUGCUCACCACUGGUCUUCCAACAUUCAAGGAAUAAGAUGAAAAUAGAGAGAGAGAAAAAAAAUCAGCAAGGAAUAAGAAUUUUUUUAUCAAAUUCUACGAAUACAUUUGACUAAACUUUAAACACAGAGAGAGAGAGAGAGAAACAGAGUGAGUGAGUCUCCUGUUUAUAUAUUAUAUUACUUUUCGUCUUCUUUUUUAUUAUUUUAUCUUCUUCUUCCUCAUCAUCAUACAUAUUCUGAAUGAUAUUGUUAUUAUUCAGAAUAAAUUUUCCUUAGAGGGAUUUGUUUGUUUAUUUGUUUAUUUCAUUUCAGUGGAAACUUAAAUAAACUUAUAUACAUGAGCAUCAACAGGGAAGGAUAUUCAUCCCUUAAUAACAUGAAGACUUUCUGACAAGGUCAAAGAUGUUAAAGGUAAAAGGGGGUUUCAAAGAUCAACAUCUAUACAAUCAUAACCAUCACCACCAUCACCACCACCUUUACAACCAUCAAUUCAUUUCAAUUUCAUUGAAUAAAUGAAUGAAUGAAUUAUGUAAAAAGUAAGAGGAGGUGAGGGGGUCGGACUUUGAGUGGAUGAGGUAACAUUACAAAUAAACAAACAAACCCUCAAGGUAUUUAAAUGAUAAUAAUAUCCUUUAGAUGGUAAAUGUUAACAUUAUCAUUAUUAUUUAUUAUUAUUCUUAUUGAUUAUUAUUAUUGAUUAUGCAUAAAUAAUCAGUCCCACAAAUCAAUUUCAAGAAUAUGGGAAGGAAAAAAAAUUGAUCAUUUCAAUAGUGAUGGAAUCAGUGAUUGAUUAUUGAAUAGGCUUACCUUUGAUUCAGGUGAGUCCAGUAAAUGAUGUGGAAGAUGAAAAGAUAUAAAUGAUUCUGAAGGAAAAUCAAAAAAACUCCAAAUGAAAUGAACUAAAAAUUCAUACAAUCAACAUAUAUUAAUACUGAAUACUCAGAUGAUCCAAUGGUCAUUUCAUUUGCUUUUAUCUUUUCACCUUUUUCUUUCCUUUGUUUGCUCAAAAUUCAUGAUAAUUCAGGUAUUCAGAGAUUCAACAUUAGCGGGAGAUGGAAAAAUAAAGUAAAAACCUCAGAAAUAAAUAAUAAUAUGGAUGAGAAUCACCUGAGGCGAUAUUAUUUUCAUAUAAAUAUCCAAUAUUAACAUGGACCCGAAUUGCAAGUUACCUUCAACAAUUGGAGAAAAAAAAACUUUUUUGUCUCUACUCAAUUUCUGAUGAGAAAUAAAUAUCUAUCAUGAUAAUCUGAAUGAUGAUAAUCAUAAUUAUGAGUUAAUAUAAGUUGCUGGUCAUCGGGAUGAUACAAAAAGGUUUGGGUCAAGCGGUUGAUAUAAUUUAACAAUCAUCUUAUUGUGUGUGUAUAUUUUUGUAUAUUAAUAUGAUUAACUUAGGAUUUUAGAGGUAAUAACAAUAAUAAUGAUGAUAAUGAAGAUAAUACAUGUACAAAUAGUGAAUCAAAAUCCAAAGUGUAAGUUAAAUCAUCAAUUCUCAACACACACACAAUUUGAAUUAAUAGACAAUAUAUAAGAUGAAGAGUAAGAAACAAAUUAGAGAUCAGAGAUUUAGUUGAUUGUUAUUAUUAUUAUGUUGAUUGUAACUCUUAUUACAAUCAAUGUUUGGCCUUUGCAUGGUUAGUUACAUACAUAUAUUUACAAAUAGAGGAUGAGGAUGGAGAUGAGGAUGAAAAUGAUGAUGAAGAUGAACCAAAAGGGUAAUGUAAUAAUAAUGAUAAUAGGAAAUAAAUUCAACAAAGACUCAGGAUGAUUUGGAUGCUGAGUAAACAGAUAGGAAUGAUAUAAUAAUAACAACUUUAAUCAUCAUCAUCUUCCUCAUCCAUAAAUGAAUAUGCAAGAAGGUGAUUUCAGGUCAGAAACUGACCUUAGAUGAUAAGGGAAAAAAGAGAGAGAGAGAGAGAAAAGUAGAAAAACUUUCAUUUUCUCCCUCUGAUUGUCCAUCAACUGACCGGUAAAGGAUUAAAUAUUAUUGAUAAUCUAUAUGGACGCCAAAAGGAUAAUAAUGAUGAGGAUGAUGAGGGAAGAUGAAGAUGAGAUGCAAAAAUGUUUUAAUAAUAUUGAAUAUAUUAUCUAUUCUUGAGGUUACUCCCCAAUGGUCAAGUCCCGAUGACCAAUGUCCAAUGUUAUUCCUCUUUUGUUCUAUUCAGUGGAAAUAGAUCAAUCUAUUCAGAUUGUGCAUUUUCAUCAUCACAAUCAUCAUCAUCUUCUUCUUAUCUUCUCUCAUGCAUAUUGAAUCCUUUCAGAUGAUAACAUUGAUUUCCAUAUAAUUUUUUCUUCCUUAUCUAUUAUAAUGAUAAACCAUUCAAAUCCAUAAGGAAUCAGAUUAUUCAGAGAGAAAGAGAGAGAAAGAAAGAGAAGACAGAAAGAUGAAAGUCUUCAUCAUUUUCGUUUCCUUUUCAUUAUCAUCCUCAUCAUCUUCAUCAUUCUCUCAUCCUUUCAUACCCUAUUCUUUCUCAAUCAACCAAAGAAUACAAGUUAUUCAAGUUACUUUUUCUCUUGGAACUUUUUUUUUCCUCAUCACCAUUCUCACUCUAAGACUUGAUACAUAAAUACAAUCUUCAUCUUUUCAUCAUCUUCCUUUUUUCGAUGUGUGAUGAUCAUUUAUUGAUGAAAAAGGCAUUCACUGAUUGCUCCUUCAUUAUCAUCAUCAUCAUCUUCUUCUUCUUCUCAAUUUCUCUUUCUUUUUCGCCAAGUCUCUCACUCUUUAUUUAUUUUUUUCUCUUCCAAAGGCAAAAACACAGAACGAAUAUAAAAACUUAUCUGAAUGAAACACUGAGCAUUCAUUGAAUUCACAGGGAGAAUGAAAAAAAGCAUAUACUAUAUUCACUGAUAUAAAUCUUCUUGUUUUGGUCUUUUCUCUAUCAUCAUCAUCAUCACCAUGUUUAUAAUCUCAUUUUCCUUGCAAAAAGCAAUGGAAAAAGGAAGAGCUAACAAAUAGCAUCUCUCUCUCAUCUCAUGAACGUAUCUUUCAUAUUCAUUAUCUGAUGAUGGUGAUGAUGAUGAUGGUAUUAGUUACUUGGUAUAAAAAAGAAUCCAAAUUAAUGGCCAGUUACUUUUUUCUUUGACCAAUUCCUCUUGAUUCUUUGCCCAUAUUCAUGAGAAUUCUAGCCCAAUGUUCAGUGGAAAUAUUAUAUUUACACCAAAAGAAUAUGCAUAAAAAUAGAAUCACUCAUAACAAAUUCUCAAUCAAUUGUGACACUAAUGAUGAUUAUCUCAUU